AAUACCACCCAGUGAGUUAGCCGACUUCCUGUUGUCUGUAAGAUGCAGCACUCUCUUCUCCAGCAUCACAUCUGCCCUCACACGGCCUGGCAGCCACGCUCCCUGCCAUGAUGAUAAUGGACGGAACCCCUGAAACUGUAAUCAAGUCACCCCAAUUAAAUGUUUCACUUAUGAGUUGCCGUGGUCAUGAUGUCUCUUCACAGUAAUAGAAACCGUAAGACAACAGCACAGAAUCUGGCGGUUGAUUUUUCUAAAACAUUCAGCUAUGUUUUCACUGCUGGGAAAAGCCCCACUUGGCUGGGGUAUGUGGUCCUCACUAUAUGUUGCUGGUUUGGUGUGUGGAGUUUUGUCAGGGGUUCUGUGGCUGUCCUUGUUAGGGGAGCAGCAGCCUUUCCUGUGGUGUGUUUGACCUCUAGAGUCAGGAAGUGUGUGUGUCUAUUUUAUCAAUCUGCAAAGGGGUUUGUAUUAUUUCUUCUGGAAACAUUUGAUGAAACUUGAAGUGCAGCCCCCCAGAUCGUACUUUAUGAUAAUAUCCUUAUUCACCCCUUCGCUUUCUUUACUUGGAAAUUCUGAUUCCCUAGGUCUUAGGAUUUUCAUACUUGUCUUUUUGGGAAUUUGUCCACUUUAUCUACUUUGCAGAAACAGACCUGUAGGUGGCGCUCUGCUCCACUCUUGAUUCCAGAUGAGGCCCUGAGGGGGCAAAGCCUAAGGUCUCACCCUUGGGAUUUGUUCAGCGAUGUGGCCUGAGUCUCCACACACCAAGUUUCUCAUUUGCCUCCUCCUCAUCCUGGCUCUGCUGAGGAAGACGCUCCCUCUUUCAUUCCUGGUUUUGGUUCUAAGGUGAACGAACAUGCUAAGUUAUUGACUUGAGGCAUGCUUCUUUUCUAAUAAACCAUUUGAAGCUGUCAGCUUUGGAGCAGUGAGAAGGCUCCACGGGUGAGGAAUUCGCCACCAAGUCUGAUGACUAGAGCAUCAUCCCCGAAACCUCGCUAAAGGACGGAGAGAACCAACGCCAGGAAGUCUUCCUGUGACCUCCACAUGCCCGCCACAGGCCUGCUGUGGCGCUCCCGACAGGGAAGUCUUUGCUAAAUGAGUCUGAUGAACGAACUUACCGCGAUGUGACGGGGACACCAUCUAUUGUAGAACUCACUACUCACAGACUGUUCUCUCUCCAUCCGAAGGAGUAUUCCUCCCACCCCCUCUGACUUCCACCCUACUCUGUGUACUUGUCUCUUCUACUGUAUUCAAAGCUGAACUUUUGACACAAAUCUUGUUUAGACUUUUGAAAACCCCAUAUCCAUUCCCAAAUGCCUAGGCUCUAUUUUCUGUCAGAGGAUCCAAGGAAACUCAGGCAUGCCGACAUUUCCCUUGAAGAAAAGAGGUCACUGUUCCCCAGCUGGUUGAUCUGCUCAUGUGGUCUGGCAGUUUACACAUCGCUGUUUUCUAGUACAGACUCACCAACCUUUCCAUUUCUAAGACCCUUUGAGAUUCUCAUUUGAAGAGACUAUAUACAUUUAUUAAUCUUCAGAAUAACAGUUUGUUUUGUUGUUUUAAAAUGUGAAGUGGGUUUAUAGACAUGGACAAAACUUCUUUAUAUCCUUAUCUUUAUUUCAACAUUUUUCUACAGCAGCUAGGAGAAUACAGAGCUAACGACAGCUACACACCAAGUACAACAUUAGACAACUACAAAUUCAGAGCAGAAAAUGUCAUUCUGAUAUUGUUUUGGCUUUCCUUUUAGCAUUAGGUGAUAUCCAGUGAAAAACUCAUGUUUCCAAGGCUUUGUUGAUAUGAGGUGAAUUGUUAACCUUCUAGAAGCUUUCCUGUGAGACUCUCUGGAGAGGCUUGGUAACACCUUUCACCUUUCAGCAUUUCUGCUUCCUCACCUAAUCACUUUGCAGAGAUUAACUGUGUAGAUUAAGAAAAUUCUUUCUCCAGAUUCAAGGAAAAAAAGCAUAUUUGAAAACUGCAAUGUCCCAUUUCACUGUAUUUCAAAGUCAGGUCCAUUUCACAAUAAGUUAUAAACAGUUAACAUAAAAACACAGUAUGUUAAAUGCCAUGAACUCAUCUGUGCAAUACUGGUGGAACAAUUUAAGCUUUCCAAGAACACAAGAAAAUCAAUACUACUUCAGGAAUCCACGAAAGAACGUAAUUAGGGAUUAUAAACCACAACACUUAAAGGAAAUCCACAUUU